GCAGUGUGUUAUAAGGUAAAAAUAUGUGUUAAAAGAUUAGUUUAUUGCCUAUUUACCAUCGAAUUCCACAACUGUAUGAUGAUUUCUUGAAGAUUAUGCAGUCGGUUUCCUAAUCCUAAUGGCAACCCUUAUAUUUGGGACAACCUUUUUAUACAAUUGUCCAGAAAACAAAUCUAAAAAAAUGGCAUUAUUUUCUGAAUAUCCGCAGAGCAGAACUAGAUACUCGGAAUCGCUUAUUGCACGAAACAUAGUCCUGUUGUUAAAUUGGAACUAGUUUCGAGUAACAAAAGCAAACGCGGCUCUCACAUCACAUUAGCAAAUCAUUGAAUCCAGGUGGUGCGGAAAUCAGGAUAGGGACACAUAAAGUGAAGCGUGUUCUGCC